rfam:Human echovirus 30 strain Bastianni, complete genome.
AAGUGGCUAGACUCUUUUUAGAUUAGAGUACAAUUAUAUAAUUUUAAUUUUAAUUGGCUUAACCCUACCACACUUACCGAACUAGACAACGGUGUGGUAGGGGUAAAUUCUCCGCAUUCGGUGCGG